GAUGAACGCUGGCGGCGUGCCUAAUACAUGCAAGUCGAGCGAACAGACGAGGAGCUUGCUCCUCUGACGUUAGCGGCGGACGGGUGAGUAACACGUGGAUAACCUACCUAUAAGACUGGGAUAACUUCGGGAAACCGGAGCUAAUACCGGAUAAUAUAUUGAACCGCAUGGUUCAAUAGUGAAAGACGGUUUUGCUGUCACUUAUAGAUGGAUCCGCGCCGCAUUAGCUAGUUGGUAAGGUAACGGCUUACCAAGGCAACGAUGCGUAGCCGACCUGAGAGGGUGAUCGGCCACACUGGAACUGAGACACGGUCCAGACUCCUACGGGAGGCAGCAGUAGGGAAUCUUCCGCAAUGGGCGAAAGCCUGACGGAGCAACGCCGCGUGAGUGAUGAAGGUCUUCGGAGCGUAAAACUCUGUUAUUAGGGAAGAACAAAUGUGUAAGUAACUAUGCACGUCUUGACGGUACCUAAACAGAAAGCCACGGCUAACUACG
rnacentral:rRNA from 1 species